rnacentral:tRNA from 1 species
ACGAUGUAGGCCAAGCCCCGAUAGGCCGGGGCGUUGGCGGCGCCCUCAAUCGCGGCAAUCUUCGGGUCCGGGCCCUGCGCCUCGUC